rnacentral:tRNA from 1 species
UCCCUGGAGGACUAGUGGUUAGGCCACGGUACUCUCACCGCUGUGGGCUGGGUUCGAUUCCCAGCCAGAGAA